rnacentral:lncRNA from 1 species
CAAUCAUUUGAAUUUACCACAGGUGGACUCCAAUCAAGUUGUAGAAACAUCUCAAGGAUGAUCAAUGGAAACAGGAUGCACAUGAGCUCAAUUUUGAGUUUCAUAGCAAAGGGUCUGAAUAAUUAUGUAAAUAAGGUAUUUCUGUUUUUGCUUUGUCAUUAUGAUGCAUUGUGUGUAGAUUGAUGAGGGGAAAAAUGAUUUAAUCCAUUUUAGAGUAAGGCUGUGUAAUGUAACAAACACUUUCCCGAAUGCACUGUAUACAGAUUUGAACCUCUUUUUGAAAGAGUUUAAAUUGAGAUUUUUUUUCAAAAUGUUUCCCCCAUGGUAAGUUGAAUCAAUGUCCAUGCAAGAAGUGAAAUAGAUUCGACAUUUACUGACUGUGUUGUCCCACAUCCAAAGGUGCCAUAUCUCUAUCACUUCUGCCCUCCUGUUUUCAACACCACGAUUUAAAAGUAGCUAAAUGUUUUAGUAGUACAUCUCUACAGGUCUGAAAUGAGAAACAACCUGAGUUCAGCUAGCUAAAAGAUAUCAUUGACUGUCACAAUCCUGUGUCUAGGUCUGAGGCAGAGAAUGGAGGAGAGGACAGGCCCAGGACGCUUGCCAGUGGGAGGUCUGUUUGGGGGCACUCAGCUGUCAUUGGCUCCUGAGUCAGACCUUUUAGAGAGCAGGAAGAAACUGUCGUUCAUGAGAUCUAAAGCUGUGGAACAGCUUUCCCCAAUGCAAACUCUAAGUGACAGUGAAACUAAGUUUCAAGGAAGAAAUAAACCCCAGUCCAACCAGGUUACACCUGUGCACCGCAGAUCAACAUGCUGUAUCAGGGCUAAAUGUUUCCCUGAUAACUGGAUCAGUUUUUAAUCCAAGGUCUUCGGCAGAGAUACUAAAGGUACGGUAUAACAAUGGAAUACUAUACAGUCAAUUAGGGAUGUCAAUCGGUUAGCCGACGAAAAUACAUGUGACCAGUCAUGCUUAUCGGUCUAUAGGUUAGCAAAUUUUUGUGGAAUCAAAUUGCCGAGUGUGUAUUUUCGUUAGUUCGCCCAUGUCUUAUCAUACAGAGCCUUUCAGCAG